rnacentral:rRNA from 1 species
UCUGGUUGAUCCUGCCAGUAGUCAUAUGCUUGUCUCAAAGACUAAGCCAUGCAUGUCUAAGUAUAAAUAGUAUACAGUGAAACUGCGAAUGGCUCAUUAAAACAGUUAUAGUUUAUUUGAUAAUUGACAAUUACAUGGAUAACCGUGGUAAUUCUAGAGCUAAUACAUGCUUAAACGCCCGACUUUAUGGAAGGGUGGUAUUUAUUAGACUGAAGCCAAUAUUCCUUGUGUCUAUUGCGGUGAUCCAUAAUAACUGAUCGAAUCUCUUUUUGAGAUAAAUCAUUCAAGUUUCUGCCCUAUCAGCUUUCGAUGGUAGUGUAUUGGACUACCAUGGCAGUAACGGGUAACGAAGAAUUAGGGUUCGAUUUCGGAGAGGGAGCAUGAGAAACGGCUACCACAUCUAAGGAAGGCAGCAGGCGCGUAAAUUACCCAAUCCUGACUCAGGGAGGUAGUGACAAGAAAUAGCAAACCGGGAACCUCAUGGUUUCACGGUAUUGCAAUGAGAACAAUUUAAAACCCUUAGCGAGAAUCAAGUGGAGGACAAGUCUGGUGCCAGCACCCGCGGUAAUUCCAGCUCCACUAGCGUAUAUUAAAGUUGUUGCAGUUAAAAAGCUCGUAGUUGAACCUCUGUCUGGGGCUAGUUUUGGCUUUGGUCAGGCUAGUUCUAGGCAUCCGCCUACAAGACUUAGAGGGCAUUCAGUUGUUCACUAGGAGGAGUAGGCAUUUUACUUUGAAAAAAUUAGAGUGUUUAAGGCAGGCAAUCGCCCGCAUAUAUUAGCAUGGAAUAAUAGAAUAGGACACUUUUCCAUUUCGUUGGUUAUUGGAAUCGUGUAAUGAUUAAUAGGGACAGUUGUGGGCAUUUGUAUUUAAUUGUCAGAGGUGAAAUUCUUGGAUUUAUUAAAGACAAACUAACGCGAGAGCAUUUGCCAAGGAUGUUUUCAUUAAUCAAGAACGAAAGUUAGGGGAUCAAAGACGAUCAGAUACCGUCCUAGUCUUAACUAUAAACUAUUCCGACUCAAUGUUUGACUGGCUUAUAUAACCAGUUGAGCGUUGUAUGAGAAAUCAAAGUCUUUAGGUUCUGGGGGGAGUAUGGUUGCAAAGCUGAAACUUAAAGGAAUUGACGGAAGAGCACAACCAGGAGUGGAUUCUGCGGCUUAAUUUGACUCAACACGGGGAAACUUACCAGGUUAAAACAAUAGUGGGAUUGACAGUUUGAGAGCGCUUUCUUGAUUGGUUGGGUGGUGGUGCAUGGCCGUUCUUAGUUGGUGGAGUGAUUUGUCUGCUUAAUUGCGUUAACGAACGAGACCUUAACCUGCUUACUAGACUGGCGAUCAUCAAUCGUU